rnacentral:lncRNA from 1 species
UAGAAAAACCCGCAAGAAUAUCAAGAGAAGAUUCUGAAGAUGUACCAACUUCAAAGAAAGCUAAAGAAGAAGCUGAAGAGGUAUCUUCCACAAAGAAGCAGAAAACCCCCAUCAGCUUCUUCCAGUGUGUCUACUUGGAUGGAUACAAUGGCUAUGGAUUUCAGUUUCCUGUCACUCCUGUGCACCACCCCGGAGAGAGCUCUGGCCAACCAAAUUCUCCAGGACAGAAGCAUCAACGACAAUAAGACACAUAUGCACAGCCCUUGCAAAUCGCUUUAGAACUUUGAAAAUAGGAUCUUUUGUUUGUCUACAGUGACACAGGCAAUUGAAAUCAUGUAGUCCAGGGGAUUUCUUUGAAAAUAUUUUACUCUUCUGCCUGGUGUAGAAAGGGUGAGCAAAGGGACUGAAUGAUAAGAAGACAAGUUGGAGGGUCUGGCGCUCAAGAAUCUGUCGUUUGUUUGCUGCUGGGUGUGGGUGCUUGUAUUUUUCUAUUUCCAGUCACUUUAAGGUUGUUCACAAACUAAUUUAACUUUUGCUUAAAAAUGAUCUUUUAAACAUGAUUGACACAAUUACAAAAUGAAAUUUCUGGCUUCAGUUAGAUAUUGACUUUUAAGUGAAAACACAGACUAUGCUUUAAGUUUAAAGGCUUUAGUAGCUUAUACAAAAGCUGCUCUUUUGCAUCAUGUAGGUAUCUAAACUCAGUUUACCCAAUAUGUUGAUAUUCAAUAGUUUAAUUUUAUUUCUGUAUAUAUAUAUCUAUUUUACUUGUGACUCUUCUCCAAAAAUGGGUAACAGUUUCACCAAAGAAUGCUUUAAGUUCCUUGUAAUGCUCUUUUAGAGCUCAAAAUACCUCUGAACUUUAGACAUGAUAAGAUUGAGCGGAAAGGCUUGAUGAAUCUUAUCCCUAAGAUUUGUCUUGAAUUACAAUUAGGAAAUUCACUCCAGUGGAAAUACGCCAUCCAAUUAGGCAAGUCUGGUGAAUCAUUUGUUUAAAUAUAAGCAAAUGAGAUGUAGACUAGCCAGAUUUCUCCAGACUGUGCCCUAGUAAAAUGUCACCUGGGUGAAAUUUUAGAUCAGUCACCAAAUUUGGGCGACAGAUGCAAGAGGAUUUUCAUUUCACUUUAAUAGGAUCAUUCUAUGGAGUUAAAUAGGUUUUAUUGCUCAAAACAAAAAAAUAUAUAAAUGUCAUCAAAGUGGAAGGAACACAUUUUAACCAUUAAGUUUGCCAUGAGAUAUCUUACUUGUUUUUUAGGUAAUUAGUUACCAGUGCUAAUGAAAUGAAUAACAAUCUUUAACUUAUUUGAUGAUGCAUCACUGGGGAAAACAGCUAUACUUUUGCCAUCCUUUGUCUCUCAGUGAUAUAAACACUUUUGUUUUUUAACUACAUUCUUCUAUCAACAAUAAAAGUCAUGCCAGGGAAUUCCUGGCA